rnacentral:lncRNA from 1 species
GGGCCAAUGAUGACGAGGUUUCGGGAUUAUAAGUCACGGACGAUGACUACGUCACUAGAGGUCUGAGGUCCAUAGCAGAAGAUGCCUCAUGUGACCCUCUCAUGCAGGGGUUGCAUGUCAGGCAUGUGCAUACAGUAGAUAUUAGCCAUGCACUCUCACCAUUUCAUAGUAGAUCACAGAAUCAAGAUACAAAUCUCCAUGCACGGAAAGGAUUUAAGGCAUUGAUCAAUCCUGAACAUAAAUAUUUGGCCAUCAAUGAUAUUUACGCACACACUGAAAAAUCUAUUCAGAAUGACUUACACAAAGGUUUAUAUAACCUUUAUCAAAGGUAAUUUAUAUAGUAAGAUUCAUGGCUGAAGUCUUCAUGAUGGUCAAGGCCUUAAUUUUUAAAAUUAUCAAUUUUUUUCUUUUCUUUUUUUUUAACUUGAAUUUUUUUUUAAUGAAAACUAUCAUGACAAUUUGUCUCUUAAAUGAAAGGAGAAAUGUAAAACUAAAUGGACAAAUAUCAACCUUUUUAUUAUCUUUGCUGUUGUGCCCUCCCUGGAUGGGUGCUGGCACAUGAUGUCUUGCCUGCUGGUCCGUGGUUGCACUCUCACCAUGUGGAUGGAGCUCGGCAGCUGAAAAUGCAUUCUUCCACCAAGAUGAUUUACACAGCCUAGCUGGAUCAGGAGCCCCCUAAUAAGCUGCUUCAGAUUGUAAUAUAGACACAGUGAAGAACAGUCAAGUAAAGGCUGCGUAUGGCAUGUGUUUGACGCACAAGGUUUAAUGAAGUUGUUUCAAAUUAAGGAUAUGUAUUGAAAACUGCUUCAUAACUCAAAAAGAAACUGAGGAACUCUGAAGUUUACUGGAAUCUCUUGUCUUUAGUUUUUUGGUGUUUUUUUGGUGGUUUUUUUGUUUUUGUUUUUGUUUUUUUUUUUUGUGAAUCACAAUGAUCCCAGUAGUACUUGUAAUCGUUUGCACACUAAAGAUGCCUACGUGAGUAGAGAAGCAGAGACUGAUGUUGGAUCAAUGAUGACUGUGGGUGCUGUAUGAGUCGUGUAUUAUGACUAUGCGUCUGAGAGUCUGAGGUUCACAUCG